rnacentral:rRNA from 1 species
UACGGAGGGUGCAAGCGUUAUCAGGAAUCACUGGGUUUAAAGGGUGCGUAGGCGGGCUGAUAAGUCAGAGGUGAAAGCUCAAGGCUCAACCGUGGAAUUGCCUUUGAUACUGUUAGUCUUGAAAAGGGUUGAGGUUGGCGGAAUAUGGCAUGUAGGGGUGAAAUGCAUAGAUAUGCCAUAGAACACCGAUUGCGAAGGCAGCUGACUGGACCCGAUUUGACGCUGAGGCACGAAAGCGUGGGGAGCGAACAGG